CGGUCUCGCCCUCCUCGCGAUCGACUCCCCUCGCCCCGACUCACCGCCGGUCUCCUCCCCUCCGCCACAGAUUCCUCCCUCCCUCCUCUUUGCAAUUCCACCAUCCUCUUUCCAGAGGGGCUCUCACCCUUGCUCCCUCCCCUAACCCUAAUCUCGCCCGCGCCCCCACCAGCUUCUACCGCUGACCGUCGCGCCGUGCCGCCCCGCCUCGCCCUCUUCAACCGCCGACCGUCCCGUCGCCCUGCAUCUUGCCCGCGCCGCCGCCGUCGUGUUAUCCCGCCACCGCAUGGAUCAGGCAAAAGGGUUGACGUGCUCCAGUGUAAGAAUUGCUUGAGACUCGGUUGUCAAGAGCGCUGCUUUGACGACUUCCUCCUCGGCCUCCGCCUCAACUGCCACCGCCGCCACUGCCGCGUCGUCCGACAAUAUUUGGUAAUGCACUUGAGGUGA
rnacentral:lncRNA from 3 species